rnacentral:rRNA from 1 species
AACGAACGCUGGCGGCAUGCCUAACACAUGCAAGUCGAACGAGAUCUUCGGGUCUAGUGGCGCACGGGUGCGCAACGCGUGGGAAUCUGCCCUUUGGUUCGGAAUAACAGCUGGAAACGACCGCUAAUACCGGAUGAUGACGAAAGUCCAAAGAUUUAUCGCCAGAGGAUGAGCCCGCGUAGGAUUAGCUAGUUGGUGUGGUAAAGGCGCACCAAGGCGACGAUCCUUAGCUGGUCUGAGAGGAUGAUCUGCCACACUGGGACUGAGACACGGCCCAGACUCCUACGGGAGGCAGCAGUGGGGAAUAUUGGACAAUGGGCGAAAGCCUGAUCCAGCAAUGCCGCGUGAGUGAUGAAGGCCUUAGGGUUGUAAAGCUCUUUUACCCGGGAUGAUAAUGACAGUACCGGGAGAAUAAGCUCCGGCUAACUCCGUGCCAGCCGCCGCAGUAAGAC